UUUGUUAAACAUGUGAUUCAGGAUAAUACUGACCCUGAAUUGAUCAUUCAGAACCUGGUGCCUUUUAAUCCUGUUUUUUUGUUCAAAAAAAAAAAGAACCUGGUGCCUUUUUCCUCUCUGCCACAAGAAUAAAGGGGGUUUUUUGGAAAAAAAAAAACCCAAGAACGGCAGAGACUGGAAAUCGUAAUCAUGAUUUGUCAGAAGAGAAUUAGACGGUUCCGAUUCAGACAAUUAUUAAUGGGAUUGUCGAUAGGUUGGAACAAUUCUCCCAAGAGGCUAGGGCUUUGGACGAGAAUUUGGGAGAAUGGGAUGAAACUCAAAUGGAAUUUCAAUCAGACAAGUUUAAGUUGAUUGACUUGGUCAGAGGUGAUGCUGGAGAGGUUACACAUAUGGAUGACGCCUCUCAAGACUAUUGAGUUUAAUGCAGGUCAGUCUCAUUUCAUAAAGUUUUUUUUUUUUUUUUUGUGAUGAAAACGAACAUUCUCAUCUGGAAUUGUCAAGGUGCUGGUCAGUUGAAAUUUCAUAAAUUCUUAAAGGGGUAUUUAAGAGAAUUUGAUCUGGGUCUAGAACAGCAAGGUUUGAAAGGUAGUUGAUAGCCAAAAAAUGGUGACGGUGGCGCCAAGGUUUAGGGUCAGGUGAUAUACCAGUCAGGUCCCAACAACCGGUCAACAAAAAACAAAACAUUGGUUAUUAUUGCCCCUUUAUUAUCUCUCACUUCACUUGUUUGCCUUAGCCUUCUUCAUACUACACAAACUCCGCUAGCUCCACUAAAACAGAGGAGAGGAAGCUUCACUUUGCAGGCUUUACUGCUCUUCACUUUUCCAUAAAAACUUGAAUCAUCAUGAGCGAGGAGCUCGACAAACCGUUGCUGGAUCCCGAGAAUUUCAACCGGGAGGGGAUCGAUUUGAAUUAAUAGCUCUUAUACUUGGUGGUCAAUCAAUCUGGUGUGGGAAACCUUUCGGUUGAAUAUUUGUUGGAGUAUAGGUAAUGGAAGGUCAGUUAAUUUCCUCAUGGAUAACUGGAUGUCAAGAUUGGGAUCUUUUCAUAGAUACUUACGACAAUCAACGGUUGUUCCCAUGGAGGCUAAAGUUUCGAAUGUGACAGACCCAAAUGGUGGUUGGAUUGAAAUGUACUAACUUAAUUCAUUGAUGAGGAGAUUUUGGAGCAUAUUGCUGCUUUCCCUCCACCAAUGGAGCUUUUGGGAGAUAAUACUUGCUUAUGGAAGAAAAAUGACUCAGGUUAGUUCUCGGUUAAGGAGGCUUAUAAAAGUCAGAUUCAAGUUGACCCUACUACUCAUAACGAUGUUUGGAGAGUACCAUGGAAGAACAUUCUACCUCCUAGAAUAAAGAAUUUUUAUGGUUGAUGAUGAAGAAAAGACUGUUAACAAAUCACAAAAAAGUCUGAAGAAGAUUGACGAAUGAUAGCAGUUGUAUUCUAUGUGGGAAUUGCCAAGAAACUCUCAUCCACAUGUUGCGGGAUUGCAACAUUGUGAAAAGUAUUUGGUUUAAAACUAUCUAUACUAGUGAUUAUAAAUUUUUUUGAAGUAGAUCUAGAAGACUGGAUGGUAUCAAAUUUAAAGAACCAGGCAGGGUUUGGUCUUGGAGCAGUUAAAUAGGGAGUUUUUUUGCGAUUACUUGCUGGUUUAUUUGGAAGCACAGUAAUACAAUAAUAUUUCAGCGGAAAUACGAUAGCUUUGAAAUGAUAGUUGGACAAGUUGAAACACUCACCAUUCACAUAAGAAAUGCAGUAAUAGUAGCGUCGAAAGAAGAUUCAUCAAGAACUACUGCCAUAAAAUGGAAGGCUCCUAGCCACGGUUGGUUAAAAAUUAACUCAAAUGGAGCUACAACAAAGAGAGAAAAUUUGUAUGCGGGUGGCAUUUUACGUGACUGACAUGGUAAUUGGUUAGCAGGAUUUCGAUGAUUUAUUGGGAGAGUUCAACUCUAACGGCUGAGUUAUGGGAGAUCUUUCAUGGUCUUGAAAUAGCUUGGAGGAAGGGAUACACCAAGGUGAUAAUUGAAUCUAACAAUAAAAGUGCAGUGAAUAUGCUAACAGAUGAUUCACUAAGGUCAUCAUCAACAACCUUAGUUUGAAGAAUAAAUGAGGAAUGCAGGUGCAAUUGGACUGUCAAAUUUCAAUUUGUCUUCCAUGAAAUGAGUAAAGUGGGUGAUUGCGUAGCUAAGUCUUGUUCUAAGAACAAAUAUGAUCUGGAAAUUAUUGAUUUUCCUAUGUUUGAUGUUAGACAACUUCUUUUAGAAGAUAAAAUGAGGGACUUCCAUGUAAGAAA